rnacentral:misc_RNA from 1 species
AACGGUCUAUACCUGCGGUACCUGCGGUAGGAUCAUUAAUGAGAAACUGCCCCUCGCGGGUAGAUCUCCCACCCUUUGUAAACUUACCUUUGUUGCUUUGGCAGGCCCGUCUCCGGACCGCCGGCUUCGGCUGGCCAGUGCCUGCCAGAGGAUUCUAAAACUCUGUCUGUCAGUGUUGUCUGAGUCUAUAUACAAUCGUUAAAACUUUCAACAACGGAUCUCUAGAUCGGAAGAGCACAC